CAACGCUGGCGGCGUGCUUAAUACAUGCAAGUCGAGCGANGUUACUUGAUUGNGCAACUGAUUUGUAGCUUAGCGNCNGACGGGUGUAGUAACGCNUGGGNAAUCUGCNCUCUAGCCUGGGAUAACAGUUCNAAAGGACUGCUAACACCGGAUAUGCUCGCACCCUGGCAUCCGGGAGNNAGGAAAGUUUACACUAUCAGGAUGANCCCGCUUCCCAUUAGCUANUUGGUGAGGUAACGGCCCACCAAGGCGACGAUGGGUAGCCGACCUGAGAGGGUGACCGGCCACACUGGGACUGAGACACNGCCCAGACUCCUACGGGAGGCANCANUAGGGAAUUUUCCGCAAUGGGCGAAAGCCUGACGGAGCAACGCCGCGUGAGGGAUGAAGGUCUUCGGAUCGUAAACCUUUGUCUAGANGGACGAUAAUGACGGUACCUCUGGAGGAAGCCACGGCUAACUACGUGCCANCAGCCGCGGUAAUACGUANGUGGCGAGCGUUGUCCGGAAUUACUGGGCGUAAAGGGCGUGUAGGCGGNCUUUUAAGUCAUACGUGAAAACCCUGGGCUUAACCCAGGACCUGCGUUUGAUACUGAAAGGC
rnacentral:rRNA from 1 species